ACACAUGCAAGUCGAACGGCAGCGCGGGGCAACCUGGCGGCGAGUGGCGAACGGGUGAGUAAUAUAUCGGAACGUACCCUGGAGUGGGGGAUAACGUAGCGAAAGUUACGCUAAUACCGCAUACGAUCUAAGGAUGAAAGUGGGGGAUUCGCAAGAACCUCAUGCUCCUGGAGCGGCCGAUAUCUGAUUAGCUAGUUGGUAGGGUAAAAGCCUACCAAGGCAUCGAUCAGUAGCUGGUCUGAGAGGACGACCAGCCACACUGGAACUGAGACACGGUCCAGACUCCUACGGGAGGCAGCAGUGGGGAAUUUUGGACAAUGGGCGCAAGCCUGAUCCAGCAAUGCCGCGUGAGUGAAGAAGGCCUUCGGGUUGUAAAGCUCUUUUGUCAGGGAAGAAACGGCCUGUUCUAAUACAGUGGGCUAAUGACGGUACCUGAAGAAUAAGCACCGGCUAACUACGUGCCAGCAGCCGCGGUAAUACGUAGGGUGCAAGCGUUAAUCGGAAUUACUGGGCGUAAAGCGUGCGCAGGCGGUUUUGUAAGUUUGUCGUGAAAUCCCCGGGCUCAACCUGGGAAUGGCGA
rnacentral:rRNA from 1 species